rnacentral:lncRNA from 1 species
AUGACACAGAGGGUGAUACACAAACCAACACCAGAGAACAGCAACAGAUCACAGCACCUACCUCGGGCCUUCAGCCCUUCUUCUGAGGUUGCACACAGCGUCCUGCUUUUCUCAUCCUUCCUGUCAUCCAUAUCUAGUCAGAAGCAAAAGGACAUUCAAUCAUAUAAUUUCCAAAAGACUUUGGCGGUGGGGGGGAAAUUCAGAAACCGAGGAAUCGAGCCAGCACGCCUGAUGGCAGCGCCAUGGAAGCACAGGGCGGGACAGCUUGGAAGGGACCACGGUCGGUCCCUGGUCCCACCUCCCCGCUCCAGCAGGGCCAUCCCAGGGCACACGGCACAGGGCCACAUCCCCCUCCAUGACACCGCACGCCACUGCAGGGGAAAGCACGUUCACGCCCUUGCACCAGGAACCGGAGGCCAGACCCGGCUCGGGUGCCGCUGCCGCAGACGCCGGGGGGUUUUACCCACUCCUACGCGUGGGGCUGUCUCUGGAUCACGGAUCCCGCCCACGGCCCUCGGCGGCCGUACCCCGGCCCGGCCCACCCUUCCCCGGCCGCCCCGGGGCCCCGACCCACCCGCGCUGCGGCCGCCGCCGCCCGGGCUCCGCCGCCCCUGGGCCGGCACCGCCCGCGCCCCGGAAGGACUGGGGCUGCCCGCCGCCGCUUCCUGCCCGCCCUCCUUCCCUCACGGCAGCCGCGGGCACAGGGUCCGAACACGGCCCCGCUCCGCCGCUUCCUGCCCGCCCUCCCUCACAGGGACCGAACACGGCCCCGCUCCGCCGCUUUCUGCCCGCCCUCCCUCACGGGGCCUGAUCGCGUUCCCGCUCCGCCUGCCUGGGCUCUGCCCUGCCCAGCGUCCCCUUCCCGCUGCACAGCACCGCGUUCCCAAGCACGCCGCAGUCGUGGGAUUCUGGAACAGUUCCUGUUCCUGCUCUGAACCGAAACAAAUCCAAGCCCUGCUGAGCCCAAAGCCGGCCCAAGCAGAAAUUGUCAUCGCAGUGCAGCCUCAGACCUCGAGGGUAUUCAUCUGA